CUCCUCUCAAUGGCUCUUUUGGUAAGGGUCUAACAGAAAUCUUUAAUUUGGCUGCUUCUGCUUUGGAGAAAAAAGCGUUAAUGGAUGAAUUGUUAAUCAUAGUCAGUUGCCUGUUUCCUGCUAAAGACCACUCCCUCCUGGCUGCUUUUUACCCCUAAAAGCAGGCAUAGGCAAACUCGGCACUCCAGGUGUUUUGGGACUACAAUUCUCAUCAUCCCUGACCACUGGGAGUUGUAGUCCAAAAACAUCUGGAGGGCUGAGUUUGCCUAUGCCUGCCUAACAGUGAUGCUUACUAUAAUCAACAUCUCUGCAGGCAAAGAGCAGCCAGAAUGGGAGGAGUGAUUUUCAGCAGAAAGCAGGCAUGGGCCCCCGAUCCAAAUUUGGAACAAGUUCCAGAUUGCAGCCUUGCCACUGCAAUUUCACCAUCAAUGGCACAACACAUGUGGCCUGACAUUAGGGCUGGGCAAUAUCUCAUCCAAAAUCUGUUUCAAGUCCAUAUGGUAAUAUUGGUUUCACAAUUUUAGACCUGGCAUCAUAUCGCUAAUUACGGUAAUUGUGCUGUGCAACAAUCACAAUGUGGGAAAACUGUGAAGCCAACCAGUGCCUCUACAUAGCCCCACCCUUAUUUUAGAUAUUGUGAUAUAUCAGUAUUUUGAGAUGUUGAAAACCACGUAUCCCCCAGCCCUGCCUGACAUACAUUUGACCUUUUUUUGGAGGGGCACAGAGCAAAUCGGGGGCUCAUUUGUGAGUUCGUUGUGAUGAAUGGAUCAUUCCCUGGUGGAGUUUAGGCUGGGUACUGCACCCUACUAGGGUUCCAUCUAUAUUGGAGCAGUCUGGAUUAUUGUGGCCUGAGGAUGUGGACAAGCUGCUUGAAGUGCUGCCAAGGACCAUUGCUUCACUGGAGGAGGGAGAAGCUCCAUCUGCCUUGAAGGAAGCAGUGGCGUGCCCACUCCUUAAGAAGACCUCCCUGUGCCCCUUUGGGGCAAGGUGCUUGAGAGAGUGGCAGGCUCCAGCUUCCAGCAUUCUUGGAAGAAAUUGAUUACUUGGGUAACCAAGUACUUGGGUUCAUGUUGCUCUGGCUUCAGGCCUAGCCAUAACACUGAUAAAGCAUUCUUUGCCCUAGUUGACGCCAUCAGCUGGGAGAGAUACGGUGGUAAGUGUGACCCUGGUUGUUUUGCUUGAACUUUCAGCAGCUUUUGAUACUGUUGACCACAGUAUCCUUCUGGAGCAUCUCAGGAGAGUGGGCACAGUACUUCAGCGAUUCUGUUCCUAUCUCCAGGACAGCUUCCAGAAAGUGAUUAUGGAAGGCCACUGUUCCGUACCAUGGAAACUAUGGUAUGUUGUUUGUCAAGGUGUCGUCAUGUUCCCCAUACUGUGCGCUGUCCUCAGGAGUUUCGGUGUGAUCAAUAUGUAGAUGACACCCAGAUAAACUCGCAGAAGCGGAUUAAAUGUACCCACCGUGAGGAACGAAGCCCCAUCUGAGAUAUCUUCGGAAUGAACUACCUGUCAGGAGCAGCUCGAUAAACAAUGGUUGCGGCGAACAUGGUGUUUUUAAUCUGCAGCAGUGUAUGUGACUCGGAUAGUUUAACCGCUCAUAGUGCAAGUGACUCAGAUUAUCCCAUGUCACUUCAAAGUAAUCUUAAUCCAGCACCAGGAGCUGUCUCCACCCUCUGUACCAUUUCCUUUCCAUGGACCUGUUGUUGCUGUUGGGUCUUGAGAUCCAUUUCCUCUUGCAAGCUCUCCUGCUAACAUGCAAUGAGGGAUUUAAUUGGAUGCCCACUCUUUGGCUGUGUUCCCCAGCCAAAAGAAAAUGAUGUAUACUUAUUAAUGUGAAUAAACUCAUGCCUCAGUAA